AGCCCACAUUCACUAUUGAACACAAUGGAAGGGGGAAUUAUUGUGAUUCUUGCUUUGGUUGCCAAGCUGGUGUUGUCUGAGCCUGUCCGGCAUGUGCUCUGCCUGCUCUGACUUCUGACCCCAGGAGGAGCAUUCAAGGAGCCAAGGAAUGGGUCCAGGCAUUGUGCUAGUAUCUAGCCAUGGCAAGAUACUAGAUCUAACCAUGAUGAGAGCAGCUAAGAUUGGACUGUACCUGAGUGAGCCCAUUGAAUCCUCCACCAGCACCACAUGGGGUUUCUAUCGUUUGUCUCAGCUGCAGCAAUAUAAUAUGAGACAAGGGCCAAGAACUGCCCAGAACUGCGCACGGUGUUGAGAAGAGGCUGCGAGCUGCUGCUCUGCAGAGUUGGGAGGUGCUUCCGGGCUCUGCAGGCUCCCUGCAGGCCCUUGCUGACUGUCCAUGGCCUGCACCUGCCCUACCCGCUGAGCCGCCCCAACAGCUGCGCCUGGCUGUGGUUUCCUGAGGGGUCCCGUCUGCAUCGGCUGCCCUGUGUCCUGACACUAUGGUGGGUUUGCAAGUGGCAGAGUCCAGGGAAGGAGACUGGGGAGCAUGGCCAUGGGUCAUCUGGGGGGCACGGAGGGUUCCGGCUCCCACCCAGCUCCACCUGCUUCAUCAGCAGUGGUCGCCAAGAUUGCAUAACCAGGACGAUGACAACGGUGAGAGCUCUGUUGCAGUUAAAGACUUAAGAACAACUUGUGCCUGCUUACUAAUACAUUUUAUCACCCAGGCAGCGUCAGGACUCUGAGAGCCUCUCACAUGCUGUUAUCAUCUGAGCGAGACCUUAAGAUUUGUCAUCGAGCAGGCCGACCCUUGCCUGAAUGGACCUCACAUUCUUGAGGUAGGGAGAGAUCUGCAAUCAGCAUGAUCGAUAAGCGAUUUUCAUAAGACGCUAGAAGUCAUCAGAGCCUAGGAAACAGGGUGAGGAAGUAGGGGAGGAGCCGGAAGGGCCACCAUUUAAAACAAGGUGGCCAGGAUAGUCCUCUCUGUAGGGGUGACAUUGAAGAAAUGGUGGGAGAGGGUGUGAGGUGCACAUCUCUGAGGGCAGAGUGUUCUGGAGACAGGAAACCAUCUGUGCUAAGGCCCUGUGGUGAGAGGGUGCUAGGAGCUAGCGAGCCCAGUCUACUCAACACAGCCAUCAUUUUAAAACCUCGGUGAGCCCUGUCCCUUAUGAACCCCCUCCCACGGAAGCUGAUGUCACUGAGAGUGAAAGCUGCAGUGUAGGGUGGCCUCCUCUGCACACCGGCCCUGGCCCUCUGACCUCUCCUACCCCAUGAUGGUCCCCUGUCAGCUGGGUCUAGAGUGGACCGUCGGGGCAGACCUGGAAGGGGAAGGCUGUUAAGUUCCUGCUCACUUUAGUGACAUACAGCAACACCUUUGUUUCCCCCUGGAUUCUGGGGAUCAGCAACAUGUGCGGGUGGGGGUAGGGCAGUCCUGCUGCUCUGGGAUGAGCUGCCCCCUCAGGGAGGACUGGCCAGCUGGGUGGCUCUGCUCCUGGAGAGUGACUGGCCAUUGGCUGGGUGGAUGGGGUGACUGUCCUGAGAGCUUGGCACCACCAGAAGUGCAGUCCAGGCAGCCCUUCAUAGGUGGCUCAGGGUGCCCAGUGGGACAAGAGGUGGCCCUCAAGCUAAGCUUGAGCUUAAGCCUAAGCCUAAGGUUGCCACGCUUGGGCUAGGAUGCCAAGUCUCCAUGCUGGCCGCUGGUCACAGCUCUGUCCCUGUGGGAGAAGAUGACUGAAGCCUGGCCAGGCUGGGCCAUCUCCCCAGCAGCCACCAGGGCUUGCUGUGAGAUGUGGGAGCCGUGCUAGGGUCCUGCCCCAGGGCUGUUGGUAGGCAUGAUGGGAAGCAGUGCAAUUACGGAUAUUUUCUGGAGAUAAUCAUCAACAGGGUUUGCUGAUGGAAUGGACCUGGAAUACAAGAAGAAAAGGAAUCAAGGAUGGCUCUGAGGUUCGGGGCUUGAGCAACUUGGAUGGGGGUGCUGCUGAGUCAGGUGGGAGGGGAGCAGGCUCAGGGGAUGCGGACUCCAUUUGAAGUGGCCGCGUUGGAGAUGUCUGUGGACAUCCACGUGAGACGCUGAGUGGCCAGCUGGACAUGUGAAUCUGGUGUCCAGGGGGAGGUUUGGGCUGCAGAUACAGAUUUCACCAGGACAUAUUUUUAGUGAUGCACAGACUGACCAGGCUAGAAAGAAGCACAGGGUGUGCAGCCCCACUCUGGUAAGCAUCUCUCUGCUUUUACUGAGGUGUCUCCACUGCAUCCUUGAUUUAAUGGAAUUCAACUGGACCAUCAUUGAGCAUCUGUUGUAUACGAUGUACUCUGGAGGCGUAAAAACUAUUGGGAGAAAUGAGGAAGUAAAUAAGUAAUAUUGAUAUAAUUCUUCUAUUAAUAAGAAUCAAUUUAUCUGAAAACAAAAAGUCUCUUAAGCAUUUGAAUAAAAUAGAAAGCCUUUAUUAACAUAUGAAGAUAAAUCCAUACCCAUAAAUAAAAAUCUGCACACUCAUGGGUGCUGACCAGUGUAUCCUAGCUCACCAGCACAGUGGGCUGUGUGUGGAGAAAGUGGGCAUUCAGCUUUCACAGCAGGCAGAGGGAGCCUUGGAGGGGAGGGUGCUGGCUCAGGACCAGUGGCCAAGCCCGUGGUGGAGUCAGGCCGGCCUGCAGUUGGACACUCUUGACUGAUUAAACAUUAAUAGGCAAUUCUAACAAAAACGAGAGGAUGGCAACUCCAUAGGAAGGAGGGCCACAUGUGGGGGUGAAUUCCAAGUCAAACAUUUUCCCCAAAGAAUUUGUUGCUAAACUUUUAAUUUUGAGAUAACUGAAGAUUCACAUGUAGUGGUCAGAUAUAAUAAAGCAUGAUCUUCUGUGCCUUUUACCCAGUUUUCUCCAUCAUAACAUCUUGCAAACAUAGCACUAUAUUACAGUGUCUCAACCAGUGUAUAAAUGGAUACACUCACCAGUGUCACUGGGGUUCCUCCAGUCUCAGUUCAUUUGUGUGCAUUUAUUUUCCGUAACUGUAUCACUGCUGUAGAGUAGGAUGGCCACCUUGACAGUCGAGGCAGAACAGCUCCACACAAGGGUUCCUGUCUUCCUUGCUCCUGGAACCAUUAAUCUGCUCUCCAUCUCUAUAAUUUUAUCCUUUGAGACUGUUACAUAAACAAAACCACACAGUAUCUAACCUCACAAGGCAUUUUUGCACUCAGUAAAAUGCCCUUGAGACCCAUUCAUGUUGCUGUGUGUAUCAGAGCCCGUUCCUUUCCACAGCUGAGCCGUGUUCCUGGUGUGGACACACUACUGUUUAACCAGUUAUCGUCGAAGGAUGGCUGCCUUGUCCCCCAUUUUCGACCACUACAAAUAAAGCUUCCAUGAGCAUUCAUGUACAAGUUUCUUUGUGAACUUAAGUUUUCAAGAAAUAAAAAAAGAAAUGUUUUCAAAUGCUUGAGCAAAUAGCCAAGAUCCCAGGGCACCGUGGGAAAAUGUGGAAGUGAGGAUUUUUUUUUUUUUUGAGACGGAGUCUCUCUCUG
rnacentral:lncRNA from 1 species